GAUGAAGAACGCAGCGAAAUGCGAUACGUAAUGUGAAUUGCAGAAUUCAGUGAAUCAUCGAAUCUUUGAACGCAUAUUGCGCUCUCUGGUAUUCCGGAGAGCAUGCUUGUUUGAGUAUCAGUAAACACCUCAACUUCCAUAUCUUUUUUGAAAUGGGAGUUGGACUUGAGUGAUCCCAACGCUUUUCCUCACCGAAAAGUGGCGGGUUACUUGAAAUGCAGGUGCAGCUGGACUUUUCUCUGAGCUAUAAGCAUAUCUAUUUAGUCUGCCUAAAAAACAGAUUAUUACCUUUGCUGCAGCUAACAUAAAGGAGAUUAGUUCUUGUGCUGACUGAUGCAGGAUUCACAAAGACAGCUUCGGCCGACUUUGUAAACUCGAUCUCAAAUCAAGUAAGACUACCCGCUGGACUUAAGCAUAUCAAUAAGCGGAGGA
rnacentral:misc_RNA from 1 species